ACGGGAACAGGGAUAACCUCGCGAGAACUCCCACUUCACCCCUCCCGCUUCUCUUGGGAAACAACAUGGCGGAAGCCGCGCGCACGUGUCCGUGUCCCAGAUACACAACAGAACCCGCAAUCUUCGUGCGUGCUCGCUCGCGCACGGCAGGAAGAAGUCGAGGGCGGAUGGUUAAUGGCUGGAGAGAAAGGCAUGGCAUGGAUUUCAUGCUCUGAAUUAAAGAUUUUAUGCAAGUAAUCCUUUAAAGCAAAGCCUUUGGACUACACAAGUUGCUUGCACCAAAAGCAUCAAGAUCGUUUCUGAAUACAUCUGAUUGCAUAGUCUCAUUCAGAAGCUUAACUGGAUACACUACUGACAAAUGGAAUCCCAUCUCCUUUCAGAACAGUACACUGGCAUUAGAAAUAUGGAUUUGUAACUCAAAUAAAGCCCAAGAUGCAUGAA